rnacentral:rRNA from 1 species
GACGAACGCUGGCGGCGUGCUUAACACAUGCAAGUCGAACGAAGAGCGACGGAAGCUUGCUUCUAUCAAUCUUAGUGGCGAACGGGUGAGUAACGCGUAAUCAACCUGCCCUUCAGAGGGGGACAACAGUUGGAAACGACUGCUAAUACCGCAUACGAUCUAACCUCGGCAUCGAGGAUAGAUGAAAGGUGGCCUCUACAUGUAAGCUAUCACUGAAGGAGGGGAUUGCGUCUGAUUAGCUAGUUGGGGGGGUAACGGCCCACCAAGGCGAUGAUCAGUAGGCGGUCUGAGAGGAUGAACGGCCACAAUGGGACUGAGACACGGCCCAGACUCCUACGGGAGGCAGCAGGGGGGAAUCUUCCGCAAUGGACGAAAGUCUGACGGAGCAACGCCGCGGGAGUGAUGACGGCCUUCGGGUUGUAAAGCUCUGUUAAUCGGGACGAAAGGCCUUCUUGCGAAUAGUGAGAAGGAUUGACGGUACCGGAAGAGAAAGCCACGGCUAACUACGUG